GUUCUAUACUGUUCUUACAUACUUCAAAGUUCUUCAGCUAUCACAAUUUUGAAGCUACUCUUCUCUUUGGUUGUAUUUACUGGAUUCUUGGCUUUUUCUUUUGCCUUCCGCCGUCCUCUGUGUUUGGCAUUAACUGAAGAUUGCAUGGGAACCGAUAUGUGGAGAAAGUACAGGGAGUCAAUUAAGCUUGUAUAAAUUUUUAUAUAUUUUAUUGAUAUUUAAUUGAAAAUAAAAUUCAUAAGCAAUAGACUACGGCUAUAAUAUAUUGCCAGACCACAGAGAAGAACCUUCACGUCUCUUAAAGAGAACGCCCUAAACUUUGGGUCGUAUAGUAUAAAAGUACAAGGUAUACAAAUAUUGCAUGCUGUAAUUCGAUAUUUGCGGAAGCGUAAAAAAUUAGCUACAACAUUUGAUUCAAAAAACUAUAUACGAAAUUUACUAUAAAUAUCACGGCUCAUAAAGAUUCAAGAUUAGUCUAUACUGUUCUUGGCUACUUGAAAGUUCUUGAGUUAUUAUAAUUAUGAACGUGCUCUUCUCUUUGGUUGUAAUUUCUGGAUUCUUGGCUUCUUCUUAUGCUUUCGGCCCUUUGAGGUGUUUGGCAAUGACUGAAGAAUGCCUGGGAACAGACGCGUGGAGAAAGUACGUGAAGUCACUUAAGAAUGAAUAAAUUUGUAUAUACAGAUAAAUUUGGGAACAGAUGCGUGGAGAAAGUACAAGGAGUCAAUUAAGCUUGUAUAAAUUUUUAUAUAUUUUAUUGAUAUUUAAUUGAAAAUAAAAUUCAUAAGGAAUAGACUACGGCUCUAAUAUAUUGCCAGACCACAGAGAAGAACCUUCACGUCUCUUAAAGAGAACGCCCUAAACUUUAGUAAACCUAGUAUAAAAGUACAAGGUAUACAAAAUUUGCAUGCUGUAAUUCGAUAGUUGCGUAAGCGUAAAAAAUUAGCUACAAAAAUUUGAUUUAAAAAACUAUAUACGAAAUUUACUAUAAAUAUCACGGCUCAUAAAGAUUCAAGAUUAGUCUAUACUGUUCUUAGCUACUGGAAAGUUCUUGAGCCAUCAUAAUUAUGAAGCUACUCUACUCUUUGGUUGUAUUUUCUGCAUUUUUUGCUUAUUCCUUUGCCUUCCCCCGUCAUGACCCUCCUAGAUUGACCUGUAUGGCAUUAAGUGAACAAUGCAUGGGAAGAGAUGCGUGGAGAAGGUACCAGGAGUCAAUAAGAAUUAAAAAUGAAUAAAUUUUUAUAUUUUUUAUUGAUAUUUUAUGGAAAAUAAAAUUCAUAAGCAAUACAGAGAGACCACAUAGAAGAACCUUCACGUCUCUUAAACAGGACGCCCUAAACUUUGGGUCGUAUAGUAUAAAAGUACAAUGUAUACAAAAUUUGCAUGCUGUAAUUCGAUAGUUGCGUAAGCGUAAAAAAUUAGCUACAAAAAUUUGAUUUAAAAAACUAUAUACGAAAUUUACUAUAAAUAUCACGGCUCGUAAAUAUUAAUGAUUAGUCUAUACUGUUCUUGGCUACUUGAACGUUCUUGAGUUAUUAUAAUUAUGAAGGUGCUCUUCUCUUUGGUUGUAAUUUCUGGAUUCUUGGCUUCUUCUUUUGCUUUCGGCCCUUAUUACCCUCCAGGUCAGUGUUUCGCAAUGACUGAAAAAUGCCUGGGAACAGAUGAGUGGAGAAAGUAUGAGAAGUCACUUAAGAAGGAAUAAAUUUGUAUAUAGUUGAUUGAUACUUUAUGGAAAAUAAAAUUCACAAGCAACAGUAUACAGGCGUAAAGAGUAUACAAAUAUCACAGGCGGUAGUAACACAAUAGUUGCGUAAGCGUAAGAAAUCAGUUAUUUAAAUUUUUUUUUAAAAAAAGAGUAUAAAACCUAAAGAUUAAAGAUUAGUCUAUACUGUGCUACUUGAAAGUUCUUGAGUUAUUAUAAUUAUGAAGGUGCUCUCCUCUUUGGUUGUAUUUACUGGAUUCAUGACUACUGCUUUGUCUUUUAGUGGCCCUUAUAUUCAACUCCCCCCACGUCAUAAGUGCUUGAACAUUUCUGAAGAAUGUUUGGGAAAAGAGGCUUGGCUUAGAAUUUUAGCUACCAGGAAAAUGUUUAAAAUCUCUGAAUAACAUAAGAUUGAAUAAAUUUGUAUAUAUUUAAUUUAAAAUAAUAUAUACGAUCAACAGAC